AUUGAACGCUGGCGGCAGGCCUAACACAUGCAAGUCGAGCGGAUGAAGGGAGCUUGCUCCUGGAUUCAGCGGCGGACGGGUGAGUAAUGCCUAGGAAUCUGCCUGGUAGUGGGGGAUAACGUCCGGAAACGGGCGCUAAUACCGCAUACGUCCUGCGGGAGAAAGUGGGGGAUCUUCGGAAUUUGCGCUAUCAGAUGAGCCUAGGUCGGAUUAGCUAGUUGGUGGGGUAAAGGCCUACUAAGGCGACGAUCCGUAACUGGUCUGAGAGGAUGAUCAGUCACGCUGGAACUGAGACACGGUCCAGACUCCUACGGGAAGCAGCAGUGGGGAAUAUUGGACAAUGGGCGAAAGCCUGAUACUGCCAUGCCGCGGGUGAGAAGAAGGUCUUCGGAUUGUAAAGCACAUUAAGUUGUGAGGAAGGGCAGUAAGUUAAUGCCUAGCUGUUUUGACGUUACCAGCAGAAUAAGCACCGGCUAACUACGUG
rnacentral:rRNA from 1 species